UAAACCAGUCUCUCCAGUAGAGUCACACGUCACUGAAGAGGUCUAAACUAUUUCCUCAAUCGUUUCCUCGUUCAUUCUAUAUUUCUUCGCAGUGAUUUUACGGUUUGUAGUAAACGUCUCUGAGGAUUUCAAUGCACAAAUCUGAAUUAGGAAUUAAACCUGGAAUAAAUAAACAGAUCUGGAUUCUGCUCUUCUCUGGAAGCUCAGAAUAAGACUUCAUUUGAGUGAAAUCAUCAGAAAACGGUGAGAGAUGACAGUGAGAGGACAAGAUGCAGCCGAAGAGGAAGAAAAGACAAGAAAGCAAACAAUGGAGAGAGAGGAAGACAAGCCUGCGCAGAAGAAAACAACACUGAAGAGAGGGAAAGAAAACAGCUGUGGAUUCGCAGAACAUCUGACAGUGCAGCAGAAAAACAGCCUCGACAACUACAGACCAAAGUUCUCUCUGGAUCCAGACGGACCUGCUGAACACAAAUUCACAGACGAGAAAGCCUCUGUUUCCCUGCUCUGACUGCAGAACAUCUCUUUCAGUAAUGAUUCACAAUGAGACUGGAAGAUGAAACACUUUCCUCUGAAAAUGCUCUAGUUUUAAGAGUUUUAAGAUUUCUUCUUUUUUAAGAACGUCUUCAGUUAAGAAAACGCCAUUUCUGCGUCACAACUCACAUAUCAUCCAUCCUAAAUAGUGCUCAAAAAUUGAAUUAAUCUGUCAUAAAUCAAUAUAUGCUAAAAUGAGUUUUCCAAAGUCGACAAGCAUAAAAUCAGGUAAAAAAUCAGGUAAUUAGAAAAAGCAAACUCAAACAUGUCCUCUACCGUGAUGUACAUCCAUUUGAAGCUGUUCUGAAAGUAAAACAAACUGUAGGGUGGUGCAUGAUUAUGUCCUUUGGAAACCAAUCGGAUGAUUGGAAGAUGGGAGUUGCAAGUCAAAUGAAAGAAGAUUGAUGAUUGGAUAAGGUCAGAGCAGAAAUGAGAUACACGUUAAUAAUCCCGCACCAAAGCACUAUUAGCCCUGCUCUAAAGGACUAAUAGUUCCGCCCAAAGGACUAAUAGCCCUACCCUGAAGGACUAAGAGUCCCACCCCAAAUGACUAAUAGCUCCACCCAAAGGACUAAUAGCUCUGCCCUAAAGGACUGAUAGUCCCACCCCAAAAGACUAAUAGCUCAGCCCAAAAGGACUGGUAGCCCCGUCCUAAAGAACUAAUAGCUCCGCCCUAAAAGACUAAUAGCCCUGCCACAAAGCACUAAUAGCUCCACCCUAAAGGACUAGUAGUCCCGCCUAAAAAGACUAAUAGCUCCGCCCUAAAAGACUAGUAGUCCCGCCUAAAAGGACUAAUAGCUCCGCCCUAAAAGACUAAUAGGCCUGCCCCAAAGCACUAAUAGCUCCGCCCUAAAGGACUAGUAGUCCCGCCUAAAAGGACUUAUAGCUCGGCCCCUCAAGGACUGAAAGUCCUGCCCCAUUUGACUAAUAGCCCUGCCCUAAAGAACUAAUAGUCCCGCUCCAAAGGACUGAUAGCCCUGCCCUAAAGGACUAAUAGUCCCGCCCCAUAUGACUAAUAGCCCUGCCCUAAAGGACUGAUAGCUCCACCCUAAGGACAGACUAUGUGACCAAAAGUUAAGAAAAGUCAUUUCAAGGGGUGAGAGACGAUUACAAUUUGAUAAAAAAUUCUCAGGGCAAAUUAAUUUUUACAAAAUAAUGAACAGAUACCUUAUUUAUUACAAGCAAUACUAGGCAUUCAAUUUAGAUUUCAUAGCAACUUUAAGUGGAAAGGCUUUGGUUAAAAUGUUCGAAUGAUUCCAAAUAGUUAACCAAUAGAAAAUACUCACACACUCAAAAGUAUGUACUUUUUUGUACGAAAGGUAGUAUAAGUAGAUUAAUCGGGAUGCAGCACAUGUCCACAUUGAAGGUCAAAGAUCAUCAAAGAUAUCUUCAAAGAUAUCUAUAAGCCAGUGUGGGACAAAACAAUGACAAAUUUUGCAUUUAUAAGAUAUAAAACCAUUAUAAACAUGUAAAUCUUGCAGAUUGUCACUUCCGCCUAAAUGGGUCAACAGUUUUCACAUCAUCUCAUUUAGUUUCUCAUCAAAUCUUCUGACCAAUCAGAUGCUCUCUAGUGUCUGACAUGCCCCGCCCCCUUCAAGAUGCUUUUCAUUUGAUGCGCUUGAGCUCAACCACACACAAAUGCGGAGUCAAAUUCGGAUCAAAUUUGCAUUUGAAGAGGCUCCUUUUGUUGAUGUCAGUUUGACGCUUCAGCCACAAUCUUCUAAGCCACGCCCCCUUUACCGUUAAUUUACUAUGAGGGAAUGAUGUGCAGAAAGAAAGCCCCGCCCCCUACUUAAUAUUCCGUUUCAGUUGGAAGUACAUCAGCACACUGAAAUAAAAGUCUCAGCAACUUUUGUUUCACGUUAGCUUUAUAUCACACGUAUGAAAACGAUGACGCAUUUAAGCCAUGUGAACAAAACAUUAUAAAAAUGAUACUUUGCAGUGUUCUCUGAAUGUUUCAAGUCAAAAACACAUGCAUAUGCAAAAAGCUUGAUUAGACUUUUGGACGAUUGUGAAAUGCGAUGACGUUUCUCGUAAGAUUUUUGUACAAACGUUUGCUCAUUCCUUCUGAGAAUGUUGAGUGGGCCUAUAUCUGUACUGUGUACAUUCAUAAACCUAUUUUUGGUUUUGGUUUAAUAGUAAAUAAAUUAGACAGGCGUUUUCAUGCGAUAGUAGGAAGCAGAAACACUGAGAUCCUCCUGUUUGAACUGCAGAUCCAUACAGUAGAUUUCAUCUCUAGUUUGAGCAUUAAUAAUAAUUACUGUAGCAGAAAUGCCAAUGUUUUUCUAUAUGAUUACAGUAACUGGAGAUUUCCUCAAGCUUCAUUACUGCUGUCAACACUGUAAAAGACACCCGUAAAUUAGCAGUUUUCUGUAUUUUGCGAUUGAUGAACAUUUUGUUAAGUGUCUUCAGAGUGUUUAAGGACAUUUACUGCAUUAGACCAUUGUGUUUAUUCCUUUCUGAAUGAUUUUAGAUGUCAAGACAACACUAAUUUGUCAUUAAAGCUGUCCGUUGCUUUGCAAAGCAAAAUAAAUAUGAACUAUUAAGCCAACAAA